AUUGAACGCUGGCGGCAGGCUUAACACAUGCAAGUCGAGCGGAGAGAGGUAGCUUGCUACUGAUCUUAGCGGCGGACGGGUGAGUAAUGCUUAGGAAUCUGCCUAUUAGUGGGGGACAACAUUUCGAAAGGAAUGCUAAUACCGCAUACGUCCUACGUGAGAAAGCAGGGGAUCUUCGGACCUUGCGCUAAUAGAUGAGCCUAAGUCGGAUUAGCUAGUUGGUGGGGUAAAGGCCUACCAAGGCGACGAUCUGUAGCGGGUCUGAGAGGAUGAUCCGCCACGCUGGGACUGAGACACGGCCCAGACUCCUACGGGAGGCAGCAGUGGGGAAUAUUGGACAAUGGGCGGAAGCCUGAUCCAGCCAUGCCGCGUGUGUGAAGAAGGCCUUAUGGUUGUAAAGCACUUUAAGCGAGGAGGAGGCUACUUUAGUUAAUACCUAGAGAUAGUGGACGUUACUCGCAGAAUAAGCACCGGCUAACUCAGUGCCAGCCGCCGCCGUAA
rnacentral:rRNA from 1 species